rnacentral:rRNA from 1 species
UACGUAGGCAGCGAGCGUUGUUCGGAGUUACUGGGCGUAAAGAGUGCGUAGGCGGUUUUCUAAGUUUGGUGUGAAAUCUCCCGGCUUAACUGGGAGGGUGUGCCGAAGACUGGAAGGCUUGAGUAUGGGAGAGGUAAGCGGAAUUCCUGGUGUAGCGGUGAAAUGCGUAGAUAUCAGGAGGAACACCUGCGGUGUAGACGGCUUACUGGACCAUAACUGACGCUGAGGCACGAAAGCGUGGGUAGCAAACAGG